CUCGGGCAUGUUCGUCACUGUUGCAAGUUUAUCACCACAAGCUUGGCUUUCGCCAUUUGGUGUGACCGAGUUGGCAGAGCUGACCUCGCCCACCCAGUGGCUUCCACACACUGGGUGACACGGAGCAGCUUUUGUCAUCAUUACGGGGGGGGGGGGCAUUGUCCAUUAACUCACCCACACAGCGUGGAAACAGUCCAGCGCGGCCCCGAUUACCCCACAUACGUGCCCGAGGAUCACCUGCAUGCCGAUGACGCUCCAGAAAAGGUAGAGGAAGUAGAGCAGCGGCGCACCGGCCCCGAUCACCAGCAGCACCGUGAGCCUCUCCAGCACCAACCUGCCCAUCGCCUCCACCACGUAGUUCACACACCACACCGGAACCAGCAAGGUCCCCACUACGAUGGGCGUCCCCGUUUCCUGCAGGCCGCUGAGCCACGAGCGGCCGAGCCGGGCCAGGGAGUACUUGAAGGGGUGGAGGAAGGUGCCGCAGAGCACUGCCCAGAGCAGCGGGCGGAGGAAGGCCUCCAGGAUGAAGUAGACCAGGACAGCCGCUCCGCAGCAGAUCGCCACAAAGAUCAUCGCCCCCGUGUUGUAGAAAGCCUGUUUGAUGUUUUUGUCAAACUUUAGGGACGAGGGGUGGGUUAGCAGCUGGCUCACCAUCCCGACGGCCGGCUGGACGCUCUCGGAGAAAAAGACAGAGUGAGGCCGCCCAGAGAGAGGGUUCUCCGGGGUAGACGCAGCGGCAGGGUCCGGCGCUGAGUCCUUCUCGUCUGCCAUGUUCCCGGGCUCCCCUUCGGUAGUCUACCCGAGGGAUCCGCGUGAGGGAGGAAAACACAGCAUGACGUAGGACCUAGGCGAAAUGCUGAAGGGCAUUGUGGGCAAUGUAGUUUUAUAGCAAACACUUCCUGUAUCCUAUUUUAUCUUUUAUUUUAAUUUCAUAUCAUUCUCACUUUCAUUUAAUUUAUGCUGUUGUUUGUUUGUUGUAUUGUUUAUUAUUGUUAUCACAAUGUCUUAUCAUUGUUAUUUUUAUAAUAUAUUAUUAUCUAAAUGUGCACUGUUUCUUUUAUCCAAACAAAGAAAUAAUGUUCUUGUUUUUCUUUUAAGAUGUGGCGCUGCAUCAUGUAUAUUAUUUUAAAAGUAUUAUGUGUAUAAUUUUUCAUUUCAGGAUACUUUGGUGCCCCAAAUUGGUAUUAUGUCAUCUGAAAGAUGCAAUAAUCACAUUAAAUGUUUACAUAAAGCCACUUUAAUAAAUCAGGGCAAUAACCAGUAUUUUUGACAUACUGAG